UACGUAGGUGGCAAGCGUUGUCCGGAUUUACUGGGCGUAAAGGGCGUGCAGGCGGUUUGUUAAGUGCAGGGUGAAAGCUCCCGGCUCAACUGGGAGAGGUCCUUGCAUACUGGCAAACUCGAGGGAGGCAGAGGAAAGUGGAAUUCCCGGUGUAGUGGUGAUAUGCGUAGAUAUCGGGAGGAACACCAGUGGCGAAGGCGGUUGCCUGGAGCUUUGCUGACGCUGAUGCGCGAAAGCGUGGGGAGCGAUCCGG
rnacentral:rRNA from 1 species